GCGCCGGUGGUGUAAUGGCGUAGAGCAUUCCCGGCCGAUCAGCAGGGGGUGCGGGUUCGAGUCCCGCCUGGCGCU
rnacentral:tRNA from 1 species